UAGGGAAUCUUCCACAAUGGACGCAAGUCUGAUGGAGCAACGCCGCGUGAGUGAAGAAGGUCUUCGGAUCGUAAAGCUCUGUUGUUGGUGAAGAAGGAUAGAGGCAGUAACUGGUCUUUAUUUGACGGUAAUCAACCAGAAAGUCACGGCUAACUACGUGCCAGCAGCCGCGGUAAUACGUAGGUGGCAAGCGUUGUCCGGAUUUAUUGGGCGUAAAGCGAGCGCAGGCGGAAUGAUAAGUCUGAUGUGAAAGCCCACGGCUCAACCGUGGAACUGCAUCGGAAACUGUCAUUCUUGAGUGCAGAAGAGGAGAGUGGAACUCCAUGUGUAGCGGUGGAAUGCGUAGAUAUAUGGAAGAACACCAGUGGCGAAGGCGGCUCUCUGGUCUGCAACUGACGCUGAGGCUCGAAAGCAUGGGUAGCGAACAGGAUUAGAUACCCUGGUAGUCCAUGCCGUAAACGAUGAGCGCUAGGUGUUGGGGACUUUCCGGUCCUCAGUGCCGCAGCAAACGCAUUAAGCGCUCCGCCUGGGGGGUACGACCGCAAGGUUGAAAC
rnacentral:rRNA from 1 species